GCUCUGCAGCUGUUCUGGCUUCGGGGACAGCCUUUGGAGCCUCUACAACUCCAAAGGCUGUCCCUGAAGCCUGAAGCCUUUGGAGC